CAGGGCCAGUCUGCUUCGAGCCGCCGAAGGGAGAGGAACGCUGGUGUCCUCUCCUUCGUGAAACUUGGAUUGAAAGUUAGAUGGUUCGGUUUUCGGCGUCAGAACUUGAAGCGGGAGUGAGGGAAAUGGUAGAGGGGAGUGAGGAAUGCUGUAUCUGACACCUGCUGUGGGAAUGUGAGCGGAUUUUGUGGUAGAGACUGUGGAGGACAAAGUUUUAGGUAAAUCUUCUGAGCGACUUGGGAGCGAUAGAGGAUUAGAAAAAAAAAAGAUAUUUGCGAUGACGAAACGAAGAAAUUGGAAAAGGAACAGCGAGUAAGUGAAAAAAAAGCAUCAGAGAGAGAGAGAGAGAGAGAGAGGGCCAGCUGGAGAAAUGAAGGGAAAGUGGCGCCUCUUGUGGUCAAGCUUAUUACUACUGCUGAUUCGAAGCUCCGCGCUUCUCUCGGACCCCAACGCUUCGAACCACGGCGAGGAGGGGUCCAUGGUGGUGGUAGCGGCGCGACGCGGAGCAACAGCCUACCUGCCUUGCGCCAUUACCUCCGGCCAUCCCUUCGAGCCCCCCUUGCUGGUGCUAUGGUACAGGGACUCCUCCGUCACUCCCGCCUACAGCUACGAUUCUCGCCCCACCCACAACACCACCACCGCAGUCGAGGGGCGGCAGUGGGCGGACGAGAGGGCGUGGGGCGGGGCGGGUCGGGCAUGGCUCAACACUACCGCCUCCUCCGCCCACCUGGUGAUCGUGGGCGUGCAUGGGCGGGACGAGGGCGUGUAUAGAUGUGUGGUGCACUUCCGCGCUGCGCCUUCCUGGAGUCAGCGUGUUGCUCUUAGUGUUGUGGACCCUUCAGGAUACCCAAGGCUGCAGGACGACUCUGGACGCCGCUUGGAGGGUCCGGUUGGUCCCUACGAGGAAGGAGACUCUGUGAGGAUGGUGUGCGAGGCCGCUGGGGAACCUCCCCCUCGCCUUGUAUGGGGCGGGGUAGCAGGGAAUUGGAAGGAGUCUAAGUCAUUGGUCAGAGGGCGGGUGUCCAGAACAGAGGUUAGUUUCGUGGUGACCCGUGACCUCCUCCACACUUCCGUCACCUGCUCCUCCUUCAACGCCUCCUCCUUCCACGAUGGUGACGAUGAUGGCAGUGGUGGUGACGGCCACCAUCUUUUCACUGUUACUGCUCUUCUGAAGCUUAACUUGGCGCCCCUGGAGGUGAGGCUGGAGGCGCCGGGGGAGUGGGUGACAGCAGGCCAGGUGACUUCCUUCAGGUGUGUGGUGGUGGGCUCCUCUCCGCCUCCAGUUUUCCAGUGGAGGUUGAAUGAACGCUAUCUGGACACACACACUUCGCACCUUCAGGAGCGGGGCAAUGUGAGUGUCAGUACGCUGAGGGUGAUGCCGCAGUAUACUGAUGACGGGGAGGUGUUGGAAUGCCGAGCGUACAGUCCUACCUUGCCCUCUUACGCUCUACAGCACACCCUCUGCCUCUCUGUCCAUUUCGUGCCCGUGGUCACCUUGAGUGCGCCGGGAAAUAAAGGAGAGUCUGCCGCGGUGCCCCAGGGAAGCUCCGUCACCCUCUCCUGUCACCUCGAGGCCAACCCACCUGCCUUCAGUGUCGCCUGGUUCCAUAAUGGUCGGCCGGUGCGUCAGUCCCAGGAGGGCGUCACUUCUAACGUCACCCUGCGCCUCGGUAACGUGACGGCGCCUGACGGGGGCUUGUACACCUGCGUGGGAAGCAACGUGGAGGGGGACGGCCAGAGCAACGCCCUUCAUCUGGCCGUGUUGUUCAGGCCGGUGUGUGCCUCAGAUUCAGCCUCUCAGCAGUACGAGGUGGAGGAGGGCGGUGCCGUGACUCUGAGGUGCCGCGUGGAGGCCCUGCCAGCGCCCCUCACCUUCACUUGGGCCCUUAGGAACGCCACAGACGGUUCCCUCACUCGCCUCCUGACGGCGCGGCGGGGGGAGGGCCUAACGGGGCGCUACACACUACGGAGCGUGGCGGGGCAGCUGGAGGUGUGGUGCUGGGCAAAAAACAUCGUGGGCACGCAGCACACACCCUGCAUACUCACCGUUCGCACCUACAGAGCUCUCGGUGACCUGCGGGGCUGCAGCGUUACUGAACACACCACCUCCGGGUUCACAGUGGCGUGCAGCGAGGUGGUGUCUGCGUCUGGUGUCUUGUAUAGUCUAUCAGUGUAUACAAAGGAGAGGAGACGAAGUAACGGAAGGAAGAAGAGUGAGAGGGAUAACUGGAUAAAGAAGACAAAGGAUGACGAAGAACAAGAAGAGGAAGAGGAGGAGGAGGAGGAGGAGGAGGAGGAGGAGAGGAGGAGGAGGAGGAGGACAUUUGCAUCUUGUUAAUGAUUUAGUGAAGAAUCUUACUGCUCAUCUUCCGUUUUUCCAUGUGGGUGGUCUGCGGGCGGGUUGGCAGUUUGUGGUGGAGGUGAGGGCGUGGAGUGAGGGUGUUACCAGUCCGCCCACUGUCCUUAGCGCCCACACCUUGAAAGACGCCAGUACGCACCCACAGAAGCAAAUCGUAGCCCUAAAACACCCUGGAAACACUACUGACGGAGGCACUGAAGGAGGGAAGGUCGCCGGUACAGAAGGUGACACGUGGCAAGGAAUUGAGGACACCUGGGUUUUCGAGAGCACAGGAACUUUCAAACUGGUCGUCUUUGUUAUGUUUCUAGGUGCUAUUUUAGUCCUUACUGCCUUAGCCACCUGUGCUGUGAGGAGGAGGAGGGAUUUACCUCUGCGUCAGCGCCCCCGCAGGAGAAGGAGGAGCAGGAGGCGGACAAUGCCAGGGAAGGAGGGAGUGAUGCUAUUUUCUACAUCCACCUCCGUCAGAAGUCAGUCGGCUAUCUGCCCGCGAGGGUCUCCUUAAUGGCGACUCACGGAGAGAGUGACGAUGCAGUACCGAGGAAGACAUUCGGGCGAGAGAAGGAGAGGCGAGGCGGUCUGGUCAGCGGGGCGGCGGACAACACUCAAGGCUGCUCGCUGUGUACUGAACUGUGACUAUUCGAGGAACUGACGGCUACGCUGAAGAGAAAAUGGUUCAUUUGUAUUUGUUUUGGUGAAGUGGGGAAGUUCUCAUUUGCAGGAACUAGUCAGAGAGAGAGAGAGAGAGAGAGAGAGAGAGAGAGAGAGAGAGAGAGAGAGAGAGAGAGAGAAGGGGGUGUCCAGCGAGUGGCAGAUAAAGAGGAGGCUGAGAGAGAGGUAGAAACUGAAGGAUAAGAAGGAAGAGGAUACUUAGAAAGAGAAAAAAAGAAUUAAUUGCAAAUUGUAAAAAUAAAAGAUGUAAAAAAGAGAAAAAUCUAGUAAUGGUUUGAAAUUAACUAAAAUCAUAUAGAAUAAGUACUUUAGAAAAGAUUUAGUUCGAAAAACAAAAAGUACGAUAAUUUUGCGAAUCUUAGAAAGAAAGCAAGAAGCAAGUGAAGAAUAUGAAAAUAAACACGAUAAUAAACUAUGUAUUUGGAAAAGUCGCUGGCAGGUACUACUUUGGGCACUGAGAAAGUCUUGAAUCUACACAGAACUUGCAGAACAUUCGUGAACCAAUAUCUUGUGCCUUAGAUCAUAAGCAACACGAAUUAUCCAGGAUUUUAUUCACAGAGGCUUCGGUGUCUUAUCUUGCCUUCUUGAACAAGGCUGUAGUAAAAGGUAAUGGUGUUCUCGAGAGUCUCCUCGAUUCCACUGAUUGUUUAAGAGGUUCCGGUGAAAUUACUGGGUUUUAAGACCGUGAUCAUGGUUCAAGUGAUAGUGUAAGAGGUUCAAGAGUUUUCUUGGCGUUUUUAAAGAUAUUUUCAUGAUUGAAGAGACAGUUUAACAUAAUCCACUGAAAGCUAUCAUGUUUUCAAUAAUGUGCUCAUGAUUUAAGUGAUAAUUCAAUAUGUAGCAUUGAAACCUAUUGUGUUCUUUCAUGAUAAUUUGAUGAUUAUUUUAUUUUCAGCAUGUUUUAGUAGAAAUCAUUGAGUUCCAAGGUUUUUGUAAUGUGUUUUAUUAAUAGUAAUAGUAAUAGUGGAAGAUAUUGGAAUUUUAAAGUGUAUUUUCACGAUUCUAGUAGUAGCUAGUGAAGUGGAAGUUACAGGCGUUGUCAGGAGUGUGGCGACAGGUGCAAGUUAUACAGUGUAGUGUUGCCUGUGAGCUGAUAAUUGUGACGGUAUAAGAAUCAUCACUACCUUGUACCCUGUUACUCUCUCACCAUUUACGCCUUUUUAACUAAUAAUGAGUGACUUUUCUGUACCUUGAAGUCAUCUUUAGUAGUAAAUGGAUUGAUCUGUAUGUAGGCAAGAGAGAAUAGAUAAAAUAUUUUAAAAAAGGUCAGACGUGAUUGUUGCCUUAAUUAGUAGAAGUAUGUAAGUAAAGUGGUAAUAUUAUACACUUAUAGAAUGUACUUAAGCCUUUUAGCUGUCAGUGUACAAAAAUUAUAGAGAUCAGAAGACAAUUGCAGAUGUUAUUAAUUCUAAUCCUAUCUAGUGUAAGGUAUAAAAAUUAGUAAUGGUAAUACAUUCAAAAGUGAAUCUCGUGACAUCUCGUUACAAUGAGACAAACUAUUGUAUUUUGAUUUACCAGUUUAUUUGUGUUAAUGUUAAAAUAUUAUAUGAACGAGGAACAACAACAACAAUAACUACUACUACUAGUCUCUCUCUCUCUCUCUCUCUCUGAUAUUUGGAAAACAUGUAUAUAAACAAAACAGGUGAUAGUGUUAAAUAAACCCGUUGUUUCUUACAUUAAGCGUGUAGCGUGCACCUCCAUUGUUCUGUCUUACGAAGGGCUCAAUAUCAGAAUACCUAAGCCACCCAUAAAACACCUUGCUGAUGCUCUUGUGUAAGAAAACGAACUAUUGUAUGGCUAUCUAACCUAUAUUUGCAUUUUUUAUCAUUGAAGUCGUAGUUGUUAUGCUAUAAUGUUGUGUGAGGUUUCCCAGGGAGUAAUUUGCCUUAGUUUUUCUUUUCUUAUAUCUACUAAAAGCUAUCGAGUUUUCGGUCUGGGUUUGAGUGUGUUUGUGUGUUAUAUCAAGGGUGUACUCUGUGGUAGUGCAUGUAUGUGAUGUGGCAAUGCUGGAUGGGCAAGCAUGGAGUCGACAUCUUUCUAGGGCUUAUUUGUUAUUAAAGUCUACGCGUAUUCAGAGAAGUCAGUCUAAGUUUGUGGAUUAAAAGCUUGGUAGAAGAAUUGGUACCUGAAAAAAAACCUGGAAUAAUAAACUGAGGUAGAUAUUUGAA